rnacentral:tRNA from 1 species
GCUGAAAUAGCAAAGUGGUUAAUGCAAAAGACUUAGGAUCUUCCAACGUGGGUUCAAAUCCUUCUUUCAGCU